rnacentral:rRNA from 1 species
CCUACGGGUGGCAGCAGUGAGGAAUAUUGGUCAAUGGGCGGAAGCCUGAACCAGCCAAGUCGCGUGAGGGAAUAAGGCCCUACGGGUCGUAAACCUCUUUUGCCGGGGAGCAGAGGCCGGGACGUGUCCGGGCCCGGAGAGUACCCGGAGAAAAAGCAUCGGCUAACUCCGUGCCAGCAGCCGCGGUAAUACGGAGGAUGCGAGCGUUAUCCGGAUUUAUUGGGUUUAAAGGGUGCGUAGGCGGGCUUUUAAGUCGGCGGUAAAACUUCGGGGCUCAACCCCGUCCGGCCUUUGAAACUGGGGGCCUUGAGGGGGCGAGAGGAAGGCGGAAUGCGUGGGG